rnacentral:lncRNA from 1 species
AUAUGAAUCGAAGUAGGGUUAAAUUGUUCUGCUGUCCUUGUCAUUUCAACUUCAUUUCCAAAUAUCUUGAUGGUGUUGCUCGAAAGGAAUAAUAAUCUAUCCCAGGUCCAAAGGACUAUCAACUACUAAAGCCUAAAGCUCAGAUAUAUAAAAUCUCUCACUAAACUCGCAGACACGGCAUUACUGGAUCAUCUCGUGCAUUGGCCAAAACCAUUAAUUAUACCCUCUUCCUUCGACCAAAACUACUCGUUCAUUCUUCUUGACAUGAUGAAACAAUUCAAGACUCCAUGUAAUUUUGCAUCUUGAUCUCGAACAACAAACGAGCAUCACAACGCGAUCUGCAAGCAGCUAGUCCAAUUUCUAAUGUUCCAUAUGUGACAAAACCGCAUAUGUUCUUAGAUUUCCCUCCCUGCAAUUGCCAACUUCAACUUAAACUAUCCUCCUCCCAGUCCCACACAGCCACACUCUAUGGUGUGUAAAACCAAGAAAACUAAGCUUCCAUUUCUCUCUUUUCUUUUCAUUCCCCUCAAGAACGCAAUCUGCAGAACUAGAUUACUAGUGUUGACCCUUCAAUAUAUGUUACAUACGUGCUGUACAGCUCCUCGAUCUGAACUAGAUUACUGAAAUAAGAAAACAAGAUUAGUUGAUUAAUUACUCUCCUAACUAACACAAGGUGUUGACUGGCCGGGCACUUCCCUCUUAGGUCAUGCAUGAAGCAAGCUGCUACACAAGGUUUGGUCAUGCUGAUCGACUCUGAAAACCCUCGAUUGGGUUACGUCGUCGUCUGGAUAUAUUCCUCCCAACUUAUUAAUUAUGCUUAACAAAGAGACGCUUAACAACUAGGCAAUAAACUAAUCAUCAUUAUUGUUUCUAGUUGAUAUUGAUUUUAGCCCUUAUCUUGUGGUUAUGUAUAAAAAUAAAAAUAAAACUUGUUUUAAAAUUGGGCCAAUUACAUAUAAGUCCACUUUGAGACAUUUUUUCCUACAUAGAUCCACCCCAACAUUUUUACUCACAUAAAUGCACCCAAGUCUAAAUAAGGUUGAAGUUCAACGUAAUUACAGACUGCCAUCUAACAAAAAAAAUUAGAUUUUCUCUUUUAUAUUUACAAGAAUGCCACUAGUAUAAAAAGUCAACAACCACUCUCAUUUCGGAAUAGUCUCCUGCCGACCUUCGGCGAGGUUUCCGGCCGACCUACGACUAUGACAAAAAUUACUACUAUCGGCCAGCUAGAAAAGCUACUACCACCGCCUACAAAAGCUACUACUGUGAGGUUUCCGAUGAACACAAAAGCUACUACCACCAGCCACAAAAACUACUAUCACAAGCCACAAAAGCUACUACUGUGAGGUUUCUGACGAACACAAAAACUACUACCACUAGCUACAAAAUUAGCUACUACCACCGCCUACAAAAGCUACUACCACCGCCUAUAAAAGCUACUAUUGUGAGGUUUCCGACGAACACAAAAACUACUACCACCAGCUACAAAAGCUACUACCAUCGCCUACAAAAGCUACUACUAUGAGGUUUUCGACGAAUACAAAAACUACUACCACCAGCCACAAAAGCUACUACCACCGCCUACAAAACUACUGUGAGAUUUUCGACGAACACAAAAACUACUACCAACAGCCACAAAAGCUACUACCACCGGCAAACUAUUUGUUUACUCUUUCUCAAAACCAAGGAAUGAAACUCUGGCCAAAUUACACUAUCAUGUAAUCAGAACAGUCACCUCCAAUCGGAGCUCCGGAGAUCUACAAGUCGUCGGCUAGAUCUGGUAUUUCUCAAUCGGUGACCUCUGAGUUAGGUGAAUCGGUGACGACGUCGUUGGAGAUCGUCGGAAACAAACUCUGCUCCACUCUCCUCGCUCCUCCACGACCUCUUACUCAACACCUUAUCCUCUGACGCCGACCGAAUCUGCCUUCUCGAUUCGGAAUCCAGGCCGUGUCGUCAAGGAGCGCAGCGACGGUCGUCGUCGAGGAGCGCCAUGUCGGUCGUCUUCGUUGUGGCAGCGGCAUCGGCCAUCGAAGAAUGGAGAGAGAGCGGAGAGAGAGAAGCGAGAGAAAGAGAGAAUGAACGAGAGAGAAACUUUGACCAAAAAAAAAUUGUCUAGAGAGAAAAACUGGAUUGGUAAAAAGAGUGAGGAGAGGGUAUUUUAGGUAGAACAAAAAAUAAAUUGAUGGGCUUGGACUGAAAAAGUGGACCGGUAUGGACAAAAAUAUCAGGGUGGACUUAUAAAGGAUAAGAUGUUAAAAAAGAGACUUCUGUGAAAUUUUCUAUUUAAAAUUAAGGUUUAGGCUUGACGAUGAUAAUCUGCUCUGGCCUCUGGGCACCCAGCAAUGCCCAGAAUGGGAGGGGAAUGGUAGAAAGGACUUGCAUGACCUGGCAUGGAUCGACAAGGCAUGUGAUUCCAUUAGCUAGCUUCAUCAUCCCAAACAUAUAUAUAGCAUUGGAUAAAUCACAUAUAUCCAUUCAAUAGAGGGUACUGCAUGCUGUUCAUUUCUGAUCUUUUAUUCCUUAAUUAUAUGAAGAGAGCAUGUUAGGUAAGUAGUUCUUUUAAGUAUUAAGAGAUACUCUUUUUCCCUAAACUCGAUUUGAUCGAUGCAACCCCUCAAGCCAGGAGUGGUUAUAUAAUUAAUCAUUUAUCUGUAAGCUGCAGUAAGCACUCGAGGUGCAUGUGUGCUGUGUAGAUCCGGUUAAACUAAUUUACGAGAGUUGUACGAGAUUGGCUCAUGAAAAGAAACGUAAUGAAACAAACUCGACCUUGAUAGAUGAAAUGAAUAAGUUAAAGUUAAAUUUGUAUCAGGAAAACAUCGAUCCUAGAAUCCAUGCUGAACUAGUAUAAACAAAAGAAGAAGAUAAAGUAUCAAACAUAUACACAAGCACAUACUGCCAAUGAUUUGAUGAGGUUCGGUCCAGAUUAACAUAUUACCUGAACAGAUAAAACUUAACUUAAGAAAAUUUCCAAAAAAAGAAAAAAAAAUCAUAUAUAAUCUACUUUGUGCCUAAACCCCUACCAUAAUCUAGCACAUUCAUCGAAUCUUCUUUUAAUUUUCAGUCUUUAGGGUCUUGUAAUUAACGCACAUCUAUUUCAAUUCUUUCAUAUGCUAGUAAACGUAACUCAAGCUAGAUGUUUAGAUCAUGCACUUUGAUUCCU